rnacentral:lncRNA from 1 species
UGUACUUUUUACAAGAUACUCACUUUACUGAUAAAGAGAUUAAUUAUAUUCGUAGCCAGUGGGGUUUUGAGUGUUACUUUAGCAACUUCAGUAGCCAGUCAAGAGGGGUAGCAAUUUUUAUUAAUAACAAUUAUGAAUUUAAAUUCAAAAGUUUAGAAAAAGAUGAAAAUGACUGUCAAAUUUCACUAACAUUUUGGGAAGAAGUCAAAAGAUGGAUAAAAAGAAAAUGUCCUAAUGCAGAUAUUGACUGGUCAAUAUCAGAUAUUU